UCACUACUUGCGUAGGCAGUCUCCCUAGAGUGCCCAGCUUAACCUGAUGUCAAAGGCUGGUAAGGUUCUGCGCGUUGCUUCGAAUUGAACCACAUGCUCCACCGCUUGUGCGGGCCCCCGUCAAUUCCUUUGAGUUUUAAUCUUGCGACCGUACUCCCCAGGCGGGAUGCUUAAUGCGUUAGCUGCGCCACUGAAGGGUAAACCCACCAACGGCUAGCAUCCAUCGUUUACGGCGUGGACUAC
rnacentral:misc_RNA from 1 species